GGGCAAUCUGCCCUUCACUCUGGGACAAGCCCUGGAAACGGGGUCUAAUACCGGAUAACACUCUGUCCUGCAUGGGACGGGGUUAAUAGCUCCGGCGGUGAAGGAUGAGCCCGCGGCCUAUCAGCUUGUUGGUGGGGUAAUGGCCUACCAAGGCGACGACGGGUAGCCGGCCUGAGAGGGCGACCGGCCACACUGGGACUGAGACACGGCCCAGACUCCUACGGGAGGCAGCAGUGGGGAAUAUUGCACAAUGGGCGAAAGCCUGAUGCAGCGACGCCGCGUGAGGGAUGACGGCCUUCAUUUGUAAACCUCUUCAGCAGGGAAGAAGCGAAAGUGACGGUACCUGCAGAAGAAGCGCCGGCUAACUACGUGCCAGCAGCCGCGGUAAUACGUAGGGCGCAAGCGUUGUCCGGAAUUAUUGGGCGUAAAGAGCUCGUAGGCGGCUUGUCACGUCGGAUGUGAAAGCCCGGGACUUAACCCCGGGUCUGCAUUCGAUACGGCUAGCUAGAGUGUGGUAGGAGAGAUCGGAAUUCCUGGUGUAGCGGUGAAAUGCGCAGAUAUCAGGAGGAACACCGGUGGCGAAGGCGGAUCUCUGGGCCAUUACGACGCUGAGGAGCGAAAGCGUGGGGAGCGAACAGGAUUAGAUACCCUGGUAGUCCACGCCGUAAACGUUGGGAACUAGGUGUUGGCGACAUUCCACGUCGUCGGUGCCGCAGCUAACGCAUUAAGCC
rnacentral:rRNA from 1 species